rfam:Corynebacterium glutamicum ATCC 13032 DNA, complete genome.
UUUUGUUCUCAGGGCGGGGCGAAAUUCCCCACCGGCGGUAAGACGAAUCAUCAGAUAUGACUAGUUGAGCCCGCGAGCGCCACCAACUAGCAAUGGUUUGUGGGUCAGCAGAUCCGGUUAAAUUCCGGAGCCGACGGUCAUAGUCCGGAUGCAAGAGAACCGUG